UACGAAGGGGGCUAGCGUUGCUCGGAAUCACUGGGCGUAAAGCGCACGUAGGCGGCUUGUUAAGUCAGGGGUGAAAUCCUGGAGCUCAACUCCAGAACUGCCUUUGAUACUGACGAUCUCGAGUCCGGGAGAGGUGAGUGGAACUGCGAGUGUAGAGGUGAAAUUCGUAGAUAUUCGCAAGAACACCAGUGGCGAAGGCGGCUCACUGGCCCGGUACUGACGCUGAGGUGCGAAAGCGUGGGGAGCAAACAGG
rnacentral:rRNA from 1 species